rnacentral:rRNA from 1 species
CCCUUAGAUGUUCUGGGCUGCACGCGCGCUACACUGAUACCUUCAGCGAGUCCACCACCUUGCCUGGGAGGGUGGGGUAACCUCUGGAAAGUGCAUCGUGAUGGGGAUCGAUUAUUGUAAUUAUUAAUCUUCAACGAGGAAUUCCUAGUAAGCAUGUGUCAUCAGCCCGCGCUGAUUACGUCCCUGCCCUUUGUACACACCGCCCGUCGCUCCUACCGAUUGAGUGGUCCGGUGAGGCUUUGGGAUCUGAGCGGAAAGAGCGUUUCGCUGUUUCUGCUCGGAAAACUCAGUCGAACCUUAUCAUUUAGAGGAAGGAGAAGUCGUAACA